CCUACGGGAGGCAGCAGUGGGGGAUAUUGGACAAUGGGGGGAACCCUGAUCCAGCGACGCCGCGUGAGUGAAGCAGUAUUUCGGUAUGUAAAGCUCUGUCAGCAGGGAAGAAAGAAAUGACGGUACCUGACCAAGAAGCCCCGGCUAACUACGUGCCAGCAGCCGCGGUAAUACGUAGGGGGCAAGCGUUAUCCGGAAUUACUGGGUGUAAAGGGAGCGUAGACGGUUAAGUAAGUCUGGAGUGAAAGGCCGGGGCCCAACCCCGGGACUGCUCUGGAAACUAUUGAACUUGAGUGCAGGGGAGGUAAGCGGAAUUCCUAGUGUAGCGGUGAAAUGCGUAGAUAUUAGGAGGAACACCAGUGGCGAAGGCGGCUUACUGGACUGUAACUGACGUUGAGGCUCGAAAGCGUGGGGAGCAAACAGGAUUAGAUACCCUAGUAGUC
rnacentral:rRNA from 1 species